rnacentral:tRNA from 1 species
AUUUAUAUAGUAUAACUAAUUAUAUUUGACUUCCAAUCAAAAGAUCUACCAUAAUAGUAUAAAUA